CAGGCCGGAGCCAGGCAUACUGCGUGCGUGAUGAUGUCGGCGUGUUGUGCAUUAGUGUUGGCCGGCAGAGGCGUGUGCAGCUGGCCAGCAUGUAUGAGGUGCGUGCGUGCGUCUUGCUUUGUUCAGCCCCUUUCAGUUGAGCUAGAUCCUGGGUAUCCUUGAGAACAUUUUUUAUGGAAUCCAGGUAAGUUCAGCAUGAUAA